UGGUCACAACGUUUCUUCGGGUA
rnacentral:siRNA from 1 species